rnacentral:lncRNA from 1 species
AUGUCACCAUUGGGUCAGUGUCACCAUUGGCUCAAUGUCACCAUGGCGUCACCGCUGGGUCACCAUCACUGUCACCACCACGUCAACGUCACCGUCACCACUGUGUCCCUGUCACAACGCUGUCACCGUCUGGUCACCAUUGUGUCACCAUCACUGUGCUGUCACCCUUGUCACCAUCAUUGCGCUGUCACCAUCCUUGUGGUGUCACCGUCACCACGGUGUCACCAUCACUGCGGUGUCACCAUUGUCCCCGUGGUGUCACCAUCCUGGUGGUGUCACCAUUGUCACCAUUGUCCCCACGGUGUCACCAUCCUUGUGGUGUCACCAUUGUCCCCACGGUGUCACCAUCAUGGUAGUGUCAGCAUCACUGUAGUGUCCCCAUUGUCCCCAAGAUGUCACCAUCCUGGUGGAGUCACCAUUGUCCCCACUGUGGUGUCACCAUCAUGGUGGUGUCACCAUUGUCCCCACGGCAUCACCAUCACUGUGGUGUCCCCACUGUCCCCAUGGUGUCCCCACUCUGGUGUCACCAUUGUCCCCAAGAUGUCACCAUCUCGGUGGUGUCCCCAUUGUCCCCAUGGUGUC